AGAGUUUGAUCCUGGCUCAGGAUAAACGCUGGCGGCGCACAUAAGACAUGCAAGUCGAACGAACUUAACCAUUAGUUUACUAUUGGAGCGGUUAGUGGCGGACUGGUGAGUAACACGUAAGCAACCUGCCUAUCAGAGGGGAACAACAGUUAGAAAUGACUGCUAAUACCGCAUAUGCCUUAGAAUCACAUGGUUCGAAAGGGAAAGGAGCAAUCCGCUGAUAGAUGGGCUUGUGU
rnacentral:rRNA from 1 species